GUGGCAGGAAAAAAGGGAUUACGAUUGUAUUUGUCGACUUCCCAGUGCAGAUUUUCUUUCAGCAAGUCUGCUAUCAAUUCUGUCUGCCAAAAUAGCAUUUUAAUGUAUCACCUGCCAGUCAAGGACACAGCCUUCCCUCCCUGCCAGAUAAUUAGCGGCAGCAGGCAGCCCAGCCAGCUCAUCACUGGACAUUCAGCGGCGCUCCUUCCCUCCCAGCUCAUUUCCUUGGAAGAAAGAAGAAUAACAUUUAUUUAAUGGAUGCUGAGCAAAAAGUAUUCACAUUUCAUGCGUCGAGGCUUAAGCUGAUCCUAGAUCAGGAGGAAACUUUUUCAGGCGCCGAAUUACACAACUGGCUUCCCCUGCAAACUUAAACCUGGUGGUACUUCUUAUAGCCGGCUCUGCUCCACUGAAUUCCAGUUCUGCUUCACCGGCAUCCCAGACCCUUCAAGAAAAUCCUCUGCAGUGUGAGAGCUGUAAUACAGGUGUUUCUUCAGUUGGCAUUGCGGACAGCAGAAGAACAUGGGGAUGGAGAGAACCUGAGAAAGGACAAAGCUUUCAAGCUAGAAAGAUGGAUCUAAGUUUAACUCAUCUUUGCUGCCUGAGUGGUUGGGUAAUCAUAAAUGGGUUUAUCUCAUUGACAGUCAGUUUCCUCAUCCAUAAAAAGGAAUAAUCAAUCUUACCUCACAGCACUGUGUGAGCACCAAGGGAAGUCAUGUGUCAGAUGUGUGGCCCUUGGAGGACAGGAGUUGGAUCACAUCUCACCUCUCUCAGGAGAUCGCAAUCCAGUCUGGUUCUAAUACUAACUUGCUAAGUAACUUCUGGUAAGUCAUUCAAAUUCUCUGUGAGUUCAUUUUCAAAAUGAGGAAAAG